UACGGAGGGUGCGAGCGUUGUCCGGAAUUACUGGGCGUAAAGCGCGCGCAGGCGGUCUUCCAAGUCAGUGGUGAAAGCCCGGAGCUCAACUCCGGAACUGCCAUUGAAACUGUAAGACUUGAGGACGAGAGAGGUGAGUGGAAUUCCCAGUGUAGAGGUGAAAUUCGUAGAUAUUGGGAAGAACACCGGUGGCGAAGGCGGCUCACUGGCUCGUAUCUGACGCUCAGGCGCGACAGCGUGGGGAUCAAACAGG
rnacentral:rRNA from 1 species